GUCGGGAUAGCUCAGCUGGUAGAGCAGAGGA
rnacentral:tRNA from 9 species